rnacentral:tRNA from 1 species
GCGCACUUAGCUCAGUGGUUAGAGCAUCACUUUUGAAUGUUGAGGUCGCAGGUUCAAUUCCUGCUGUGCACA